CUCCCGCCUCCGCCUCCUCCCGCCUCCGCCUCCUCCUCCGCCUCCUCCUCCUCCUCCUCCUCCUCCGCCUCCUCCUCCUCCUCCUCCGCUUCUGGCUUCUCCUCCUUCUUCUCAGGCUCAUCACAACAACUUUUACACCUCCUCCUCCUCCUUUUCUUCUUCUUCUUCUUCUUUUUUUUUUUUUAUGGCGUCUCGCCCAGCCUGGAGUGCAGAGGCAGUCUUGGCUCACUGCAACCUCCACCUCCGGGGUUCAACUGAUUUUCCCGCCUCAGCCUGCUGAGUAGCUGGGAUUACAGGCACCCUCAUCAAGUCCGGCUAAUUUUUGUAUUUUUAGUAGAGACAGGGUUUCACCAUGUUGGCUAGGCUGGUCUUGACCUCCUGACCUCGGGUGAUCCUCCUGCCUCGGCCUCCCAAAAUGCUGGGAUUACAGGCGUGAGCCACCACGCACGGCUUCUGUUGUUCGUUGAAAUCAUCAUUUUUCUAAUGUCCUCAUUCUCUGCUGGCUAGUUUAAGGGCUGAUUCAAAAAAUAAAUUUUCACACUGUGAAAUACGCAAGAUGAAGAGAACAUUUAUAAAAUAUCCAUACUGUGCAUCUCUGAAUAAUCUUUUCUUCACAUCAGCGGCAGUACAAAUUAGGUGGAGUUUUAAAAGAUACUUCAGCAACUUACAGAUUACAGCAUGUUAUGUAUCUUCAAGAUAUUUUGCUUCAUUGGUGUGCUUGAACAUUUCUGGAUUCCUAGACUCCCAGAAAGCAGUGAGAGGAUAUUACGUUGCAGAAUUUGGUCAGAAUAUGAAGUUUGGAAGACCCUAUAUUCCUGCAGAUCCUUGGAUUGAGGUUAAUUCGAGAGCAAGCCGUGAGUGAGAAAUCUGCCAUCAAAACCAAGUCACUGGCCCUACCACAUUUGCUACAACUCUGAUAUUCCACAUUUUACAAAGGUAAAGGAAUUGAGCCUUUAUGAUUCUCAUCCAUAUGAGGUUUAUCCAAAAUAAGGGAAUCCAGGAGCUGAGCAAUUAGCUGUGCACCUUAUCUUACUUGCUUUCUUACUUUCUACUUUCCCAAGGUAUCAACACCUUUGUCUACUUUCUACCUUUAUAAUUUAUUCUUUUGACUCUUGAAGACAUAUGGUCUUCAAUAAUCUUUAUUUAAAAAAAAAAUAUCCAGGCACUUUGAGGGUCUGAGGUGGGCAGAUUGUCUGAGGUCAGGAGUUUGAGAUCAGCCUGGCCAACAUGGCAAAAUACUAUCUCUAUUAAAAAUAAAGAAAAUUAGCUGGGCAUGGCGGCGCAAGCCUGUAAUCCCAGCUACUCGGGAACCUGAGGCAGGAGAAUCGCUUGAGUCUGGAAGGCGGAGGUUGCAGUGAGCGGAGAUCACGCCACUGCACUCCAGCCUGGGCAACAGAGUGAAAUUUUGCCUCAAUAAAACCCCACAAAAAAAAGAAACAAAAAGCCAGGCUGGGCAGUGGUGCAAACCGGUUUUCAUGGCUACUUGAGAGGCUGAGUCCUGGGCAAGAAGAUCCCUUGAGCCAGGAGUUCAAGUCCAGCCUGGGCAACAUGGCAAGUCCCUGUCUCUUAAAAAACAACAACAACAAAAAAUAACCAUGAGCCUUAAAUGCCCAACACAAUACUUGCAUAUUAAUAUUCUUCAGUUCUCCAUAUUCUAGACAUAGUGCUAGAUAUUGUUCAUGACUUAGCUGUCACAAAUAAUCAAAGACAGAAUUUGAGGAAGGAUGGAGGAGGUUAUAGGAGAGGCAAAAAUGUCCUUAAGAAAAGAGGAACAAGUGCUUCAAGACAAUUUUGCAUAGCACAGACACAGCACUUAGUAGUCCCUAUACCUCCCGUUUUGGCUUUUUCAAACCCAAAUUCCCUACAAAAUCCAGAGGAUCAACAAAGGCGCUUGUCUCAUCAUCUCCCUUCUAUGCUCAGUUGACUGCAGGAGUCCUCAUUGCCUGCAGUGUCUGCCCCACAGUGGGUUCUGAAAGACAGUAAUAGUCUCAUGAAAUGCCGUGGAAUUAAAAGAUUCAGUGAUCCAAAAACUAUGGGGGAACACUGAAAGCUGUAUCUCUCUCUUAGAGAUUUACAAUACAUGCUAGUAUUUUAAGGACUCUGGAAAAUCCUGGUAAAAAGGACUCUGUAUAAAAUGUGUUCAGCUGAGUUUCUUAAGGUGACUAUGGAGCCGUUGUAUUAAGGCCCAACCAGGAAGCACAAUUUGGGAAAUCCUGACCUUUAGGUGGAAGGGCACAUGCAUUAGCAUGGCCGUCAAAGCCCCCCACUCCACACUAGCCUCCCUCAUGCCUCUGCUCCCCAGCUUUGUACCUUGCUCUUCAGCAAGACUGAAUUUGCUAUCCUCUGACCACACACGCAGCUGGGUUCCACUGCCAACAUUCUUGCAAGCUGCCUUUUCUACCAUGAGUGCUCUGCCCCAUGCCAUGGGCCUGCCCCUCCUACUUACAGGCUUACUUCAGCUGGUUUAGGUGUUCUGUGGCCCUUCCUGAGAAGCUCUUGUGAGACUUCUUGUGUGUGAAUACUGCCUCUGCCAUUCACUCAGUGUGACCUUGGGCGAGUCACUUAACAUCUUUGCCUCUCAGCAUUAUCCACACAGUGAGGGUAUAAACAGUACCUACCUCAUGGGGUUAUGGAGAGGACUGACUUCAUCAAUACAUAUAGCGAGCUUAGAGCCAGGCUCCACACAUGGUUAAGUACUCAUAGGAUGUCAUGAAUGCUGUGGUCCCCUGUGCAUGUCUUUACCAUUGCACACUGUUGUAUUAUCCUUAUCUCCUUAUGCAUCUAUAUUCCCCAUCCAAUUAUAUUCUACUUGAACAUUAGGGCUGUGUACUAUUUAUCUUUUUUUUUGAUCUUUGGUGUCUAGCACAUAGUAGGCAAUCAAUGAAAUCCAAUAAUGACUUUAUCUAAUAAAAAUUGAUCAAACUUAAUGAAAUAUGUUAAACCUAUGGUCUGGGUAAACUUGGAAUAUUUUAUAGUGCUAGAAAAUCUCAGCUACGGCCACUGAGGUGAGCUAUCUGUUUAUAAUUUGCUUAUAGUAAUACCAAUACCAAAGCACAUAUUCAGUCCACAACCAUCUGUUUCAACAUGUUAGUGCACAUAUGAGGAAGCUAAUGUUGCCUUCAGAAAUUGCUAGGGGAGAUAAAAAAAAAAGUAUGAGACAAUUUCUCUGGUCUCUUUCAUCUAUAAAAGUCUGUGGUCCUAUGAUUGAUGAGCCAGCACAGAGCAGAUUAGAAAACUGAAGAACAGUCAGAGUCAAUUUGUAGAUGCCCUUCAAUUUCGUGAUAAGACAAUAGCAGUGAUUAUUGUCUCUUGCUUAUUUGUUCCUUAAUUGGAAGUAAUACAUCGUAAAAUAAAAAGCACAAAUAAUAAAAUCCUUAUUUUAGUUCCUUAUAUUUCUCUUGGCUACAAAUAUUUCUUUUAAUUAAAAAAUAUUAUGCUAAAUUAUUUUUCAGUUGGUUAAUCAUUAGAAUUUAGCAAGUAAUUUUGGUCUACCUUAGUAACGUUUGGAAAUUUGAAGGUGAGAUUGUCUUUAAAUAAAUUAUUUUUGGUUACAAAAUUAAUUGCUGUGUAGAAGUUUGAAAACAAUGCAGUCUUUUGGGGCAGUUUUCUGACUUUUCUGUACUUGAUUUUUUUUCUGACCUUCCAUUAAUAAACUAUUUUAUCAUAAUUUAUGUUCUUAAUGUCAAUAUAUUUAACACAUUUCCCAAAAUAAAUGAAUAUAAGUAUAUAAUGUUAAUUAUUGAUAAGUAUUUAUCAAAAGACAUACUAGGUUUGACCAAAACAUCUAAGUGGACAACACCUAAAUUAAUGAUUUGUUUCCUUAAAAUCAUUUCUGGCUAUCUCUCAAAUGACCAGUGAAGUAACUUUUCUACAAAACCCUACUUGAAAGUUAUUUCUUUUUCUAAAUUGUUUCCAUAGACGAAGCCACUAGGGUAUCAUUUAGUAUGCUAAAAGUCAUGUGCUAUAUUCUAAAUAUUGCCCCAAUGAUCUGAAAGAGUUCAUAUUUGUCUCUCAAAAUGCCCCCUAUCUUUACAUGGAAAGAAGGAAAUACGAUAGCCUUUGACUUUAUCUACCUGUCCAUAACAUUAUACGUAUGGUAAGUAAUCGAUGAUCCUUUAAUAACUAAUUUUUUAAAAGAAUUAAAACCAAAUGAUUUGGCUUUAAAAAUCAUGGUAGCAUCAAUUUUUAUGUAAUAAAUGAAAACUACCUAGAUUGCUAUGCCAUGGUUUGAAUGAAUUUUAAUUAAAAUAGCUUAAUUGUAUGUGUCUGACACUAGAUAGCAAGAAUUAUUUCUUUUUCACAAUGCAGAUAUGGAUAUAUAAAAUUUUAAUGUGCUACAUCAGUGCUGUAGUUUGAAUUAAUAUCCAAAUGUCUAGCUAGAUUAAAGCAAUGUUUUAAUUGUAUCACAAAUAUUAAUUAACAUAAUUCUCAUAACCGCACUAUUGUUGCCCCAUGUUCUAGAUAAGGAAAUGGAGGAAUAGAUUGUUUAAAUAACUUAAAAAGAAAGUUAGUGAUAGAAAUACAGAAUACAAAGAACUGAGGGCAGAGUUGAUGUAUAAACCAUGAUUUUCCAAUUCCAGAGCUUGUAUUCUUUCCUCUAAAUCGCACCACUUCCUUAGAAUGGCAUUUUGGUUGGGGUUUACAUUUGGAUUUGGCAUCACGUGGUCCCCAAAGCUAUCCAUACUAUGGGCUUUACCUCAUUUUCCUCUUACCUGCCGACUUUCUCUGUGAUUCAUAAUCACUCAGUUUCUUGCUUAUUAUCUAAUUGCCAAUUUUCUUUUUACUUUCCAAUUCGACUUUUGUUUAUUAGAUUUUUGUAAACUUGGAUAACAUUGUCCUUCAAUUUAAAAUAAAAUCACCUUAAUUUUUCUUUUUUCGAAAAAAGUUUACCUUGAUAAAUUGAGCUGUGAAUACUUUUUUACUAUCACAAUGUAUGUAGUCAAAAAUAUGCUGCCCAACACACUUUAUAGGAUCCAGUCCUUAUAGGUAAAGGCUUUUCCAGAACUGAGUUAAUGGAAUGGAAGAAGCACCGUUGUUUUUUCAUAUUUCCCUGUGUAACUGCCAUACUUUAUAAUUAACUUCUGGAAAGCCUGCACAAUAAAGUUGCAAUAUAUAUUUCCUCCGAUUUUAUGUAUAUUAAGAUUAAAUAUUAUACAUUAUGUGUCAAGAUUGUUUUCUGUUGUGUCUUUUCAUUUUAUUUUAGAUUUAAUUUCCUCAAACUUCAAUAUUAGAAUAUUCAAA
rnacentral:lncRNA from 1 species